GAUGAACGCUAGCGGGAGGCUUAACACAUGCAAGUCGAGGGGUAAAUGGUAGCAAUACUAUGAGACCGGCGGACGGGUGCGUAACGCGUAUGCAACAUACCUUGUGCAGGGGGAUAGCCCGUGGAAACGCGGAUUAAUAUUCCAUAGUCCAGCUAUAUCGCAUGGUAUAGUUGGUAAAGAUUUAUCGGCACAAGUUUGGCAUGCGUCUGAUUAGCUUGUUGGUAGGGUAACGGCCUACCAAGGCUACGAUCAGUAGGGGUUCUGAGAGGAUUAACCCCCACACUGGUACUGAGACACGGACCAGACUCCUACGGGAGCAGCAGUGAGGAAUAUUGGUCAAUGGGCGGAAGCCUGAACCAGCCAUCCCGCGUGAAGGAAGACAGCCUUACGGGUUGUAAACUUUCUUUUCUGUCAGAAGAAUAAGCUUGUCGAGACGAGUGAUGCCGGUAUGACAGGAAUAAGCAUCGGCUAACUCCGUGCCAGCAGCCGCGGUAA
rnacentral:rRNA from 1 species